CAUGGAAGUUUUAAACGAGCAAAAAUAAUGCACUUCCAGUAAUCUUUAAGCAUAUUGAACAUAUAUAAAUUACAAUUUUAACAAAAAUUAUGACUAUAACAUUGUUAAUAAUUUGAACUCCACAAAGCAUACCAUAUUUUGGCACAAGAUUAUUUGCCUAAUCAAACAAAAAAAAAAAAAUCAUGCUACCCAACCCAUU
rnacentral:lncRNA from 1 species